UACGUAGGGGGCAAGCGUUUGUCCGGAAUCAUUGGGCGUAAAGCGAGCGUAGGCGGCCCGAUAAGUCUGCUGUAAAAGUCAACGGCUCAACCGUUGAAAGCCGGUGGAUACUGUCGGGCUAGAGUUCGGAAGAGGCAAGUGGAAUUCCUGGUGUAGCGGUGGAAUGCGCAGAUAUCAGGAGGAACACCUAUAGCGAAGGCAGCUCGCUGGGACGUUACUGACGCUGAGACGCGAAAGCGUGGGGAGCAAACAGG
rnacentral:rRNA from 1 species